UGUUCUUCACAUGCCACAGCUUC
rnacentral:siRNA from 1 species